rnacentral:lncRNA from 1 species
CGACGAGCAUCCUUGUUCCUCUUAUUAGCAGAUUUCUUAAACAACUUUAUAGCCUGCUCCUUCUGGGGUUUGUCCUUGAAGCCCUCCCCUGGAACAAAUUCACUUCGAGGUCGUGACAUUGACCUUGAUCUUGCCAUGGAAAGUGAUCUAGACCUACGUUGCUUCUUGCUGGGAGUAAUCUCAUCAACAUCCAUUGCAUCAUUACCAUUGUCAUCUCCACAUUCAACUGAUCUCUCUCGCUUACGACCCCUUGACUUACUUCGAGCUCGAUUGAUUGCUAGAGUUGGAUCCAAUCCCAGAGCAGAUAACUGUCUUCCCAUUCUUUUUGAAGUAAAUUCCUUGUCUUUAUCAAACUUUCUUGGUACUGUGGGCCUGCUCUCUGCGGUGCUCUUCUUCACUCUAUGCUGCUGAAUG